CUGGCGGCAUGCUUUACACAUGCAAGUCGAACGGCAGCGAGGAGAAGCUUGCUUCUCUGUCGGCGAGUGGCGAACGGGUGAGUAUAGCAUCGGAACGUGCCAAGUAGUGGGGGAUAACCAAACGAAAGUUUGGCUAAUACCGCGUAAGCUCCAAGGAGGAAAGUAGGGGACCUAAAUAAGGCCUUACGCUAUUUGAUCGGCCGAUGUCGGAUUAGCUAGUUGGUGGGGUAAUGGCUCACCAAGGCAAUGAUCCGUAGCGGGUCUGAGAGGACGAUCCGCCACACUGGGACUGAGACACGGCCCAGACUCCUACGGGAGGCAGCAGUGGGGAAUUUUGGACAAUGGGGGAAACCCUGAUCCAGCCAUGCCGCGUGUAUGAAGAAGGCCUUAGGGUUGUAAAGUACUUUUGUUAGGGAAGAAAAGCUAGUUUUUAAUAGAAAUUAGUGAUGACGGUACCUAAAGAAUAAGCACCGGCUAACUACGUGCCAGCAGCCGCGGUAAUACGUAGGGUGCAAGCGUUAAUCGGAAUUAUUGGGCGUAAAGCGAGUGCAGACGGUUACUUAAGCCAGAUGUGAAAUCCCCAAGCUUAACUUGGGACGUGCAUUUGGAACUGGGUGACUAGAGUGUGUCAGAGGGAGGUAGAAUUCCACAUGUAGCGGUGGAAUGCGUAGAGAUGUGGAGGAAUACCGAUGGCGAAGGCAGCCUCCUGGGAUAACACUGACGU
rnacentral:rRNA from 1 species